UACGUAGGGUGCGAGCGUUGUCCGGAAUUAUUGGGCGUAAAGAGCUCGUAGGCGGUCUGUCGCGUCGAUCGUGAAAACUUGGGGCUUAACCCUGAGCUUGCGGUCGAUACGGGCAUGACUGGAGUUCGGCAGGGGAGACUGGAAUUCCUGGUGUAGCGGUGAAAUGCGCAGAUAUCAGGAGGAACACCCGUGGCGAAAGCGGCUCUCUGGGACGGUACUGACGCUGAGACGCGAAAGCGUGGGGAGCGAACAGG
rnacentral:rRNA from 1 species